rnacentral:lncRNA from 1 species
CUGCUGUGUUGAUUAAAUGGAUGAGAAAUCAGAUUUCUCUCUUUCUUCUUUCUCUCUCACUUUCCUUAUUUUCUUUGUCUUUCUUUAUCUUUCCUAUUUUUUUCUUUCUUUUCUCUCUCUCUCUUUCCUUAUUUUCUCUUUCUCUCUUUCCUUGUUUUUUCUUUCUUUUUCUUCUUUCUUUCCCUUCUCUCUCUUUCCUUAUUUUCUUUCCUUCUUUCUUUCUUUCCCUCUUUCUUCUUUCUCUUCUUUCUCUCUUUCCCUCUUUCUUUUCUUUCUCUCUCUCUUUCCUUAUUUUCUCUCUCUCUUUCCUUCUUUCUCUUUUCUUCUUUCUUUCCUUCUUUCUUACCCUCUUUCUCUCCUUUCUUCUUUCCUUCUUUCUCUUUUCUUCUUUCCUUCUUUCUCUUUUCUUCUUUCUUUCCUUCUCUCUCUCCUUAUUUUCUCUUUCUCUCUUUCCUUGUUUUUUCUUUCUUUUUCUUCUUUCUUUCCUUUCUCUCUCUUUCCUUAUUUUCUUUCUCUUCUUUCUCUCUUUCCCUCUUUCUUCUUUCUCUUCUUUCUCUCUUUCCCUCUUUCUUUUCUUUCUCUCUCUCUUUCCUUAUUUUCUCUCUCUCUUUCCUUAUUUUCUCUCUCUCUUUCCCUCUUUCUUCUUUCUUUCCUUCUUUCUCUUUUCUUCUCUUUCCUUCUUUCUUACCCUCUUUCUCUCCUUUCUUCUUUCCUUUUUUCUCUUUUCUUCUUUCUUUCCUUUUUUCUUUCCCUCUUUCUCUCCUUUCUUCUUUCCUUCUUUCUCUUUUCUUCUUUCUUUCCUUCUCUCUCUCUCCUUAUUUUCUCUUUUCUUCUUUCUCUCUUUCCCUCUUUCUUCUUUCUUCCCCUCUUUUCUUUUCUUCUUUCCUUCUCUCUCUCUUUCUUUUCUUCUUUCUUUCCCUCUUUCUCUCCUUUCUUCUUUCUUUCCUUCUCUCUCUCCUUAUUUUCUCUCUCUGUUUUCUCUCUUCCCUUCCCAGCUCUGGCCCAGCCCUUUCCCCUCCCCUCCGCUCUGUUUUUGCCCAGCCCGAGCAGUGCUGGAGCCUUUUUGUAUUUUCUGUGUGUGCAGGGCGAGGCCCCACGGGCACAGCUCCCACCGCGGGAGAGGAGCAGUGGCUGAGCCAGGAGGGGAAUCCUGCAAUUCCCAGAGAAUCUGGGAUUCCUGGAAGGAGCCCCUGGAGGAGGUUAAUGUCCCUUCCAGCCCAGCACCAUCUGCCCCAGAAAUAGAGAAAAGUAAAUACAAUCCACGCACGCGUGGGGCUUGCAUAGAUUUCUCCUCCCCUACACAGACAAACACAUUCAAAUGCAAUCAAAAUUCUUUAAAAUGCGUUAAAAUUUCUCCUCCUCCUACACGAACACACUAAAGCACAUUAAAAAUGCUUUAACAGUUUUAAAUAUUAAAACACAUUAAAAUUUCUCCUCCUCCUGCACAGACA